rnacentral:ncRNA from 2 species
GCUAAGAAAAAACACUCUAGCCUUUGUGCCUACGUCCCCCGGAUAUGGCGCUCUGGCCGUGGCGAAAGCCACCAGGGUACAGGAAGAAAUGACUGUGCCUCCCGUAUUUGGAAAGGUGUAUAUGGCCACACAAC